rnacentral:rRNA from 1 species
UACGGAGGGAGCUAGCGUUGUUCGGAAUUACUGGGCGUAAAGCGCGCGUAGGCGGCUUUGUAAGUUAGAGGUGAAAGCCCGGAGCUCAACUCCGGAACUGCCUUUAAAACUGCAUCGCUUGAAUCCAGGAGAGGUGAGUGGAAUUCCGAGUGUAGAGGUGAAAUUCGUAGAUAUUCGGAAGAACACCAGUGGCGAAGGGCGGCUCACUGGACUGGUAUUGACGCUGAGGUGGCGAAAGCGUGGGGAGCAACAGG